rnacentral:rRNA from 1 species
GGACUACCAUGGCUCUCACGGGUAACAGGGAAUUAGGGUUCGAUUCUGGAGAAGGAGCCUGAGAAACGGCUACUACAUCUACGGAAGGCAGCAGGCGCGUAAAUUACCCAAUCCUGACUCAGGGAGGUGGUGACAAGAUAUAACAACGAGACU